rnacentral:rRNA from 1 species
UGAUCCUGGCUCAGGACGAACGCUGGCGGCGUGCCUAACACAUGCAAGUCGAACGGAGAUAAAGAUUUCGGUUUUUAUCUUAGUGGCGCACGGGUGAGUAACACGUGAAUAACCUGACCCAAAGAGGGGGAUAACACCUGGAAACAGGUGCUAAUACCGCAUAAGACCACAAUGUCGCAUGACGAAGGGGUCAAAGAAAAUCGCUUUGGGAGGGGUUCGCGUCCCAUUAGGUAGUAGGCGGGGUAACGGCCCACCUAGCCGACGAUGGGUAGCCGAGCUGAGAGGCUGAUCGGCCACACUGGAACUGAGACACGGUCCAGACUCCUACGGGAGGCAGCAGUGGGGAAUAUUGGGCAAUGGGCGCAAGCCUGACCCAGCAACGCCGCGUGAGGGAAGAAGGUUUUCGGAUUGUAAACCUCUGUCGCAGAAGACGAAGGAAGUGACGGUAUUCUGUGAGGAAGCCCCGGCUAACUACGUGCCAGCAGCCGCGGUAAUACGUAGGGGGCGAGCGUUGUCCGGAAUUACUGGGCGUAAAGGGAGCGUAGGCGGUCUGAUAAGUUGGAUGUGAAAUACCCGGGCUUAACUUGGGGGGUGCAUCCAAUACUGUUGGACUAGAGUACAGGAGAGGAAAGCGGAAUUCCUAGUGUAGCGGUGAAAUGCAUAGAUAUUAGGAGGAACAUCGGUGGCGAAGGCGGCUUUCUGGACUGCAACUGACGCUGAGGCUCGAAAGCGUGGGGAGCAAACAGGAUUAGAUACCCUGGUAGUCCACGCUGUAAACGAUGAAUACUAGGUGUAGGGGGUAUAAACUCCCUCUGUGCCGCAGCAAACGCAAUAAGUAUUCCGCCUGGGGAGUACGGCCGCAAGGUUGAAACUCAAAGGAAUUGACGGGGGCCCGCACAAGCAGCGGAGCAUGUGGUUUAAUUCGACGCAACGCGAAGAACCUUACCAAGGCUUGACAUCCACUUAAAGUUAUGGAAACAUAAUGUCCCUUCGGGGGAAGUGAGACAGGUGGUGCAUGGUUGUCGUCAGCUCGUGUCGUGAGAUGUUGGGUUAAG